CCUGACCGACCGAUAGUGAACCAGUACCGUGAGGGAAAGGCGAAAAGAACCCCGGCGAGGGGAGUGAAAAAGAACCUGAAACCGUGUACGUACAAGCAGUGGGAGCACAGAGCAAUCUGUGUGACUGCGUACCUUUUGUAUAAUGGGUCAGCGACUUAUAUUCUGUAGCAAGGUUAACCGAAUAGGGGAGCCGAAGGGAAACCGAGUCUUAACUGGGCGUUAAGUUGCAGGGUAUAGACCCGAAACCCGGUGAUCUAGCCAUGGGCAGGUUGAAGGUUGGGUAACACUAACUGGAGGACCGAACCGACUAAUGUUGAAAAAUUAGCGGAUGACUUGUGGCUGGGGGUGAAAGGCCAAUCAAACUCCGUGAUAGCUGGUUCUCCCCGAAAUGCAUUUAGGUGCAGCGUCACGUGUUUCUUCCCGGAGGUAGAGCUACUGGAUGGACGAUGGGCCCUACAAGGCUACUGACUUCAGCCAAACUCCGAAUGCCGGGAAGUGAGAGCGUGGCAGUGAGACUGUGGGGGAUAAGCUUCAUAGUCGAGAGGGAAACAGCCCAGACCACCGGUUAAGGCCCCUAAGCGUGUGCUAAGUGGGAAAGGAUGUGGAGUUGCUGAGACAACCAGGAGGUUGGCUUAGAAGCAGCCACCCUUGAAAGAGUGCGUAAUAGCUCACUGGUCAAGUGAUUCCGCGCCGACAAUGUAGCGGGGCUCAAGUACACCGCCGAAAGCGUGGCAUUCAGUUUU
rnacentral:rRNA from 1 species